CCUACGUGAGGCAGCAGUGGGGAAUAUUGCACAAUGGGGGAAACCCUGAUGCAGCGACGCCGCGUGAGUGAAGAAGUAAUUCGUUAUGUAAAGCUCUAUCGGCAGGGAAGAAAAUGACGGUACCUGAGUAAGAAGCCCCGGCUAACUACGUGCCAGCAGCCGCGGUAAUACGUAGGGGGCAAGCGUUAUCCGGAUUUACUGGGUGUAAAGGGAGCGUAGACGGCAGUGCAAGUCUGGAGUGAAAGGCGGGGGCUCAACCCCCGGACUGCUCUGGAAACUGUACGGCUGGAGUGCAGGAGAGGUAAGUGGAAUUCCUAGUGUAGCGGUGAAAUGCGUAGAUAUUAGGAGGAACACCAGUGGCGAAGGCGGCUUACUGGACUGUAACUGACGUUGAGGCUCGAAAGCGUGGGGAGCAAACAGGAUUAGAUACCCGGGUAGUC
rnacentral:rRNA from 1 species